GAUGAAGAACGCAGCGAACGUGCGAAACGUAAUGUGAAUUGCAGAAUUCAGUGAAUCAUCGAAUCUUUGAACGCAUCUUGCGCUCCUUGGUAUUCCGAGGAGCAUGCCUGUUUGAGUGUCGUGAAUACUCUCAACUUCAACCCUUUUUUCGGAAAGGGAGGAAGGUUGGACUUGGGUGUUUGUUGAAGUGCGAGCUUCGACUCAUCCUAAAUGCAUUAGCGAUCUGCCUCGAUCACACACAAUGUGGUAAUUAAAACUAAAGCAUUGUUUAAUGAUCAAGUCGAGACUGCUUCUAACUGUCGCAAGACAAUAACGUGCAUACAUUUGUGCAUGUCAUUUGACCUCAAAUCAGGUAGGACUACCCGCUGAACUUAAGCAUAUCAAUAAGCGGAGGA
rnacentral:misc_RNA from 1 species